CUUCAACCUACAGUCCCCACAGACAACGACGUGAUAGUUAAAAUCAAAGACUCCUAUUUGAUGGACAAACUCACAGCACAAAUCAGAAAUACGGAAAAAACAUUCCAAAAAAUCUGGCUUCCUUGGGAAGUGUACGCUAACGACAAUGUUAUAUAGCCUGGAAAAGGUUCGCAGUGGUUUGGCGGACCUCCUCCCGCCGUGCGCCCCGAGAUAUACCAACUAUUUCCUUUCCCCCUCCUGCUCCAUCC